AACGGGGGGGGCGAAGCGUUAUUCAUAAUGACUGGGCGUAAAGGAUUCGUAGGCAGUAAUAAAAGCUUUGUUCAAAUGUUAGGGCUUAGCCUUUGAGUGGAUAAAGGUCUUUAUUAGUUGUAUAUAGCAGAAAAUAACUGUACUUUUUUGAGGAGAGGUAAAAUUCGUUGAUACUCAAAGGACGAACAUAAGGCGAAGGCUGUUAUUUAGGUUAUAUAGACGCUGAGGCAUGAAAGCGUGGGGAGCAAACGGG
rnacentral:rRNA from 1 species